rnacentral:lncRNA from 1 species
UGUCUCCCUCUCUCUGUCUCUCAGUCUCCUCGACGGUGCCUCUCCCUCCCCUCCUGUUCUGCUUCGGGCAUCCUGCCUCUCUCUCUUCAUCGCGAGAUCCACUUGCCGACGGUCGGACCCUGACACCAAUGCCAUGGACAGAGAAGAUCAGCUCCAAGAGGAGAUUCUCUCCCUCUCUCAGUCUCCUUCUCUUCCUCUCUGUCUUUUUGCCUCCUGCUCUCCCUCUCUGUCAAGAUCCCUCCACCGAAAUUUGAUCUCUCUGACGGUACCAAGCCCUCCCUCCUCUCCUGCUCUUGACUUCCUCUCCCUUUCCGUCGAGAUCCGAUCUCCUCUCCACCUCUCCCCCUCCACCGCUACCUUCUAUGGCUCUACCGCUCCGCAUCCCCUCCCUCUGCCUAGCAUCAUCUCUGCUGCCAUCUGGGCCGCCUCUUCCUCUCUACCACUACCGUCUGUCGAGAUCCGAUCUCUCCACCACUAUCCUUUAUCGUUCUGACUUUCUCUCCUUCUCCACCACUCUUCGGACCCUGACACCAAGGCUGUCUCAGUUACUGAGAUCCGCCCAAUAGAUAUUUUUUUGAGACUUUGAAUAUGAAUUUCAGAUCUCGAAAUCGGAUAC